GAUAAAUUCGCAUAGUGGCUAUUGCGGUAGAUUAGAAAUCUACUAUCCUCCGGGAUGCGCAGGUUCGAGUCCUGCAUUUAUCU
rnacentral:tRNA from 1 species